CCUACGGGAGGCAGCAGUGGGGAAUAUUGGGCAAUGGGCGCAAGCCUGACCCAGCAACGCCGCGUGAAGGAAGAAGGCUUUCGGGUUGUAAACUUCUUUUAAUAGGGAAGAGCAGAAGACGGUACCUCUUGAAUAAGCCACGGCUAACUACGUGCCAGCAGCCGCGGUCAUACGUAGGGGGCAAGCGUUGUCCGGAUUUACUGGGUGUAAAGGGCGUGCAGCCGGGAAGACAAGUCAGAUGUGAAAGCACGCGGCUCAACCGCGGAACUGCAUUUGAAACUGUUUUUCUUGAGUACCGGAGAGGUAAGCGGAAUUCCUGGUGUAGCGGUGAAAUGCGUAGAUAUAAGGAAGAACACCAGUGGCGAAGGCGGAUGACUAGACGGCAACUGACGGUGAGGCGCGAAAGCGUGGGGAGCAAACAGGAUUAGAUACCCGGGUAGUC
rnacentral:rRNA from 1 species